UAAUGUUAACACGGGAGCUUGGAGAACCAGGCUGAGAGGAUAACUAAUCUGUUAUCGACCGUUGAACCUGAACUGGAUAAUGCCAGCGGAGGGAUAAACGCUACUUCAU
rnacentral:ncRNA from 1 species